rnacentral:misc_RNA from 1 species
GUGAAUCAUCGAAUCUUUGAACGCAAAUUGCACUCUCUUCGGAGAGUAUGCCUGUUUGAGUUUCAGCCUAAAAAAAAAUCGACAUAAUCUCUUUUUCGCGGUGACAUUCCUCGGAAAUUGGGUCAUCUUAAACCUUUGGGUUUUAAGCGGCUUAAAAUUUUUUUUACGAUUCUACGAACGUUUUUAAGAUGUUCUUCUUAUACGUUUAAG